GACAAACGCUGGCGGCGUGCCUAAUACAUGCAAGUCGAACGACGAAAGCCUUCGGGCAAGUAAGAGUGGCGCACGGGCGAGGAACACGUAGAUAAUCUGCCCUUCAGUGGGGAAUAACUCUCCGAAAGGAGUGCUAAUACCGCAUAAGACCACAAGCUCUGCGGAGCAAGGGGUUAAAGGAUUUAUUCGCUGAAGGAUGAGUCUGCGUCCGAUUAGCUAGUUGGUGAGGUAAUGGCUUACCAAGGCAAUGAUCGGUAGAUGGUCUGAGAGGAUGAUCAUCCGCACUGGAACUGAGACACGGUCCAGACUCCUACGGGAGGCAGCAGUAGGGAAUAUUGCACAAUGGGGGAAACCCUGAUGCAGCAACGCCGCGUGAGUGAUGAAGGCUCUAGGGUCGUAAAGCUCUGUCGUAUGGGAAGAAAAAAAUGACGGUACCAUACAAGAAAGGACCGGCCAACUUCGUGCCACCAGCAGCCGCCG
rnacentral:rRNA from 1 species